UACAGAGGUCUCAAGCGUUGUUCGGAUUCAUUGGGCGUAAAGGGUGCGUAGGUGGCGAGGUUAGUCAGGUGUGAAAUCUCGGGGCUCAACCCCGAAACUGCACUUGAUACUGCCUUGCUAGAGUACUGGAGAGGAGAUUGGAAUUUACGGUGUAGCAGUGAAAUGCGUAGAUAUCGUAAGGAACACCGGUGGCGAAAGCGGCGCGCUGGACCUCUUCUGACGCUGAGGCGCGAAAGCCAGGGGAGCAAACGGG
rnacentral:rRNA from 1 species